rnacentral:rRNA from 1 species
UACGGGGGGGGCAAGCGUUGUUCGGAAUUACUGGGCGUAAAGCGCGCGUAGGCGGCUUUUCAAGUCAGACGUGAAAGCCCCAGGCUUAACCUGGGAAUUGCGUUUGAUACUGUUAGGCUAGAGUGUGGAAGGGGCUACUGGAAUUCCGUGUGUAGCGGUGAAAUGCGUAGAUAUCGAGAGGAACACCUGCGGCGAAGGCGGGUUGCUGGGCCGACACUGACGCUGAGGCGCGAAAGCCAGGGGAGCGAACGGG